UACGAAGGGGCUAGCGUUGCUCGGAAUUACUGGGCGUAAAGCGCACGUAGGCGGUUUCUUAAGUCGGGGGUGAAAUCCUGGAGCUCAACGUCCAGAACUGCCUUCGAUACUGGGAAACUUGAGUCCGGGAGAGGUGAGUGGAACUGCGAGUGUAGAGGUGAAAUUCGUAGAUAUUCGCAAGAACACCAGUGGCGAAGGCGGCUCACUGGCCCGGUACUGACGCUGAGGUGCGAAAGCGUGGGGAGCA
rnacentral:rRNA from 1 species